rnacentral:rRNA from 1 species
AACGAACGCUGGCGGUAUGCUUAACACAUGCAAGUCGAACGAACAAAAUUGGGGCUUGCUCCAAUUUUAGUGAGUGGCAAACGGGUGAGUAACACGUGGGAAUCUACCUAUCAGUACGGAAUAACAUUUGGAAACAGAUGCUAAUACCGUAUAUUCUCCAAGGAGGAAAGAUUUAUCGCUGAUAGAUGAGCCCGCGUAAGAUUAGGUAGUUGGUAGGGUAAUGGCCUACCAAGCCGACGAUCUUUAGCUGGUCUGAGAGGAUGAUCAGCCACACUGGGACUGAGACACGGCCCAGACUCCUACGGGAGGCAGCAGUGGGGAAUAUUGGACAAUGGGCGAAAGCCUGAUCCAGCAAUACCGCGUGAAUGAUGAAGGCCUUAGGGUUGUAAAGUUCUUUUAGUUGGAAAGAUAAUGACGGUACCAACAGAAAAAGCCCCGGCUAACUCCGUGCCAGCAGCCGCAGUAA